rnacentral:rRNA from 1 species
UACGUAGGGGGCAAGCGUUGUCCGGAUUUAUUGGGCGUAAAGAGCGUGUAGGCGGCCAGGUAGGUCAGCUGUGAAAACUCGAGGCUCAACCUCGAGACGUCGGUUGAAACCACCUGGCUAGAGUCCGGAAGAGGAGAGUGGAAUUCCUGGUGUAGCGGUGAAAUGCUUAGAUAUGACAUAGAACACCUAUCGCGAAGGCAGCUUACUACGCAGAUAUUGACGCUCAUGCACGAAAGCGUGGGGAUCAAACAGG